GUUGUUAUGACGAGAAGCACAAAACCAGCUUGGUUCGUCAUACACCCAUGUAUUUCUAUACACACCUCCGAAGCGCUCCCUGCAAGACCCUCGGCUCCCUUCCCGCAGGGAGCCCAGGCCCGGGACGCGCUGCCCGCCGUUCCCGAGCUCUUUCCUGGCAGCGAGCUGCUCACCCACCUCUCCCCCGAGAAGCCCAGCCUCACCUAAAGGAAACCGCCGCGGGCCCCGAGGAUAAGCAGCCGGGGCGGAGCGGGACCCCAUGGACUGACGAGCGUGCCUGGGCCGGGCAGCCGGGCCAAGCCGGCCUCACGUACCUGUCGGCGGCGGGGACUCACGGGUGCCACAGGGGGGGAAAUGAAUCGGUUACCAAGUUUUCAAGCACUGCCAUCUGACUGCAGCGGGGAGGAAUGAACAUAUUGACAAAGAGCUCAUGAGGGAGGACCCCACCCUUUGUAAUUCAUUCAAGUGGCGCAGACAAGAGGCAUCAGAUGUGGCCCUUAGCCGUAAGGCACAUGAGUGAUGAUGUGUGGCACCAGUAGCUCCUCUAGGUCUGCCCGUGCCUCCAUGUGGUUAGGAGAGAUCCGAAGUACAUCAUCACGCCGGCAAAAGUCUCCAGGUUGAUCUUUUGUCCCACAGUUUCACUGGGAUUGUGCCAUUUUCUUUAUACUCCCUCAAACUCACAUUACGAAAUUGUCAUUGCCAGUAAAAGAAUGGGAAGUAAGGGGAGAUAAAUCACUGCUAGGGGAAAAAAAAGGACAAAAACACAAUUAGAUGCACAAGGACAUCGCCUCACUGAGUCACAAAUUGCCGGAUGCUUCCACUGCUCUGGGAAAAUCCUGCCAGACUUACCUUUCCUGGCUUUGGCUGGUGACCACUGUCAGAAAAGUGGACUAUAGGACGUGUGGUCUGACUCGGUAUGACUGCCCUUACAGCUUUGGCUGCAUGGAGUGCGCCUGGUGCUGCCUUUUUCAAACAGAAAAUGGCUUACUGUGGACCCACUCCUGCUUUUGAGGGAUUAGCCCAUGCAAUAUCUUUUCUUUUUUCUGUCCACCUGGAGAAGCCUCCUCCUCACCCCACUUUAUUAAAAUUAAUAGGAAUUUCUGCUAAGUGCACAACUUUGUUUUUCUACUAUUAAAUUGCAUGUCAUUUUCUGCUGUCCGCAGACUCAUCCAGUUCUUUCCAUAGGGUAUUCCAAUCCUUUUCUGUUGUAACAGCAGGUCUUAGGUUUAUGUCAUCAGCAAAUUUCAUUAGCAAGCUUAUGGUUUUUGUGCCAAGGUCACUAAUAAAAUUUUAACUAAGAUUAGUUCUGAGAUGGGUCCCUAUGAAAGUGCAUUAGUAACCUCCUUCUAUUUAGAACUUUCUUUUCAGCUCACGCUAUUGUCCUUAGUUUUCAUUUCUUACAUUCAUCCGCAUCUCUCCAUCUUAAUUAAUAUUUUCUCGCAUGGCAUCCUCUCAAAUGUUUUAUUGAAGUCCAGAUAGAUUUGAUCUACUGUAUUUUCAUUGUUUGAAAAAAUGAUUUAUCAGACAAAGAUACUGGCUUAGUCUGGUAUGUUCUAUCUUUGGUGAAGUCCUGCUGAAUUUCAACUAGUUUUUCACACACCUCCACAUCUUUAAUUAGCUUUUCCUUCAGCAUUUGUUCUAAAGCUUUGUGUACUAAUGAGGUCAGAUAAAAGAGCCUGUAACUGCUUGCAUCAGUCCAUUUUCUCACCAAGUACAAGUCCCACAUAAAAGUCUCUAGACUUUCCAGUGUCUUUCCUGGGCUGCUGUGACCAUUAGGUCUGACCUGAAAUUAAGGCACAGCAUGACUGUGAUUGAUUGAUUUUAGACUAACCCCUGAGGCCAAAAAAGCCAAAUGUUGUAUCUUUUUUUUCACCUCAAAGACUGCCUCACAGGUUUCUUCUGCAAAACUGCACGUUCAGACUGCCUAGUUCCCAGAUUUACUUACAAUCACACCUUUGAGAUUUUAUGCACACAACCUGAAUGCUCUGGCAUUGCUUUGCGUAUAACGCUUGUCUGUUUCAAAUGCAUUUCUUUAUGUUUUUAUUGUAUUAACAUUUUGCCCGCAACCAAAAAAGAGCACUGCUUCUACUUUCCUCCUUAUGAACAUGUCCAGUCAAUGGAUUUAGAAUAAACCUUUUUAUUUUAAAACAAAA